GCCCUCUAGUUAGGUUCCACCUGAGAGUUGUUUACUUUAACACCGCACCCAGUCUUCCAAUCUCUGUAUCCUGUCUCGGCCCUGUCUCCUAGUCUCCUAGUCUAAUAUUCCCCCGCUAUUUAAGAGCUUUGGGCCCUUGGAAUCUUACAAGAGAGGCCGAGGAGAGAAGAUCUAUCUUCUGAAGCUGCUUUUUGCUGGAAGGGUUUUAGCACAGGAAUUGCAUUGCUGGGGCUUGCCUGCAUUUGGGAUUCUGCACUCUAAGGAGAAUUUUCUGUCUGCCCUCAUACAACCAGAAUACUUUGAAAGAAAAUGAUUCCACGCUUAGUUCUACAGUUCUGGAAGCUGCUGGUAGCUAUUUUACUACCACAAGGGGAGCUCCUGACCAAGAUCAGAACAAGCACCAAAGAAGCUAAUUUGAAAAGAGAGGAAGGAAGACCAAAGAGAGAGAUUAAGGAAGUGGGGGAGCAGGGAGAGAACCAAAGAGGAGAAAGAGAAAGACAGAGAGAAUGAAACUAAGUCCUGAACACAUACUUUUAACCUUGGGUAAAUUCAUUCUCUGAUCUCUUCAAGAUCUAAUAAAUUUUCUGUUAUGAUUUGA